UACGGGGGGGGCAAGCGUUGUUCGGAAUUACUGGGCGUAAAGGGCUCGUAGGCGGCCAACUAAGUCAGACGUGAAAUCCCUCGGCUUAACCGGGGAACUGCGUCUGAUACUGGAUGGCUUGAGUUUGGGAGAGGGAUGCGGAAUUCCAGGUGUAGCGGUGAAAUGCGUAGAUAUCUGGAAGAACACCAAUAACGGCGAAGGCAGUUAACUAUUCUGUUACUGACAUUGAGGCACGAAAGCGUGGGGAGCAAAACGG
rnacentral:rRNA from 1 species